UUUCCAAGUUUUCCCACUAGCC
rnacentral:siRNA from 1 species